rnacentral:rRNA from 1 species
UGAUGCAGCAACGCCGCGUGAGGGAUGACGGCCUUCGGGUUGUAAACCUCUUUUAGCAGGGAAGAAGCGAAAGUGACGGUACCUGCAGAAAAAGCGCCGGCUAACUACGUGCCAGCAGCCGCGGUAAUACGUAGGGCGCAAGCGUUAUCCGGAAUUAUUGGGCGUAAAGAGCUCGUAGGCGGUUUGUCGCGUCUGCUGUGAAAUCUGGGGGCUCAACCCCCAGCCUGCAGUGGGUACGGGCAGACUAGAGUGCGGUAGGGGAGAUUGGAAUUCCUGGUGUAGCGGUGGAAUGCGCAGAUAUCA